rnacentral:rRNA from 1 species
AUCUUCGGAUUCCAAGUAGAGUGGCACACGGGUGAGAGUUUACGUGGAUAACCUGCCCUAGAGUCCGGGAUAACACUUCGAAAGGGGUGCUAAUACCGGAUAAGCCCACGCUCUCUUCGGAGGAAGUGGGAAAAGAUUUAUUGCUCUGGGAUGGGUCCGCGGUCCAUUAGCUAGUUGGUGGGGUAAUGGCCUACCAAGGCUGCGAUGGAUAGCUGGUCUGAGAGGAUGAUCAGCCACACUGGAACUGAGACACGGUCCAGACUCCUACGGGAGGCAGCAGUGGGGAAUUUUGCGCAAUGGGGGAAACCCUGACGCAGCAAUACCGCGUGAAGGAUGAAGGCCCUUGGGUCGUAAACUUCUGUCAGAGGGGAAGAAAUACUCGCAAGAGUGCUGACGGUACCCUCAAAGGAAGCACCGGCUAACUCCGUGCCAGCAGCCGCGGUAAUACGGAGGGUGCAAGCGUUGUUCGGAAUUAUUGGGCGUAAAGAGCAUGUAGGCGGACUGUUAAGUCUGGUGUGAAAGCCCGGGGCUCAACCCCGGAAGUGCAUUGGAUACUGGCAGUCUUGAGUAUGGGAGAGGAAAGUGGAAUUCCGAGUGUAGGAGUGAAAUCCGUAGAUAUUCGGAGGAACACCAGUGGCGAAGGCGGCUUUCUGGACCAAUACUGACGCUGAGAUGCGAAAGCGUGGGGAGCAAACA